UACGUAGGGGGCAAGCGUUGUCCGGAUUUAUUGGGCGUAAAGAGCGUGUGGGCGGCUUGGUAGGUCCGCUGUGAAAACUCGAGGCUCAACCUCGAGAUGUCGGCGGAAACCACUUGGCUAGAGUCCGGAAGAGGAGAGUGGAAUUCCUGGUGUAGCGGUGAAAUGCGCAGAUAUCAGGAAGAACACCCGUGGCUAAGGCGGCUCUCUAGUACGGUACUGACGCUGAGACGCGAAAGCGUGGGGAGCGAACAGG
rnacentral:rRNA from 1 species